GGGGCCAUGCUAGUCAUAAGUUUCUGUUUUCUGUUAGCAUCAAUAGUGCUUGCUGUGACCAGCUCUGGGUCUGCUGUUGAAAAAGCUGCAUGUGUGUUUGGAUUUCUUGCAAGUAGUGCAUUUUUAGCUGAAAGUAUUAUACAGCGUUUUCACAGUCAGAAACAAAAUGUCGACGUACGCUCUGAAAAUCCUAGCAACACUCAGAGUGCCACGGAAAAUCAGCCACUGAAUAAACAAAGCUAACUUUCUGGAAUUAUUUCUUUUUUUUUUUGCUUAAUGGAGCAAACUAAAAUGAACUAAAAUGAACUUUGCACUGUAGGUAACAACUUCUUCUGUCUCUUCCUUCUAAUCAAUUUUGUACGCAUUACUCAUCACAAAUUUUUAUAGAUCCUUAGAUCAAGUAAUGGCAUCUUUAGCAUCAUGUUCUAAGGUAACUGGUCCUGCUUAAUAGCUAGUCCUGCCAUCUGUCCAGGUGACAUACGCUAAAAAAACUUGUGUCUAAAUAGAAUAACUUAAGGACAACAGCGUGCUGAUUUGAUUUUGACAGCGGUGACUGAUAAAGGUCAAUGUGUGAUGCAUAAAUUCUGAGCUAUACCCUAAAGAUAUUUUCUGUAUAAAUGGUUCAGAUACUUCUGUUAUGCAUUAUAAAUUAGUACAGCAGAAUUCAUUUUUGUACUUACUGGUCAAACUGUGAAUGUAAAAGGGAUACCUAAUUGGAGCCUUACAGAAAUGCUUAUCCUUACAUAAGGGUUUUUGUUUUGUUUUUAUUCUUCAUAUGUCUCAGUUCUGUCUGUGGAGAUCAGUUUAAUGGCAUAGCAAGCGUAGGGGUUUUAUGGGGAGGAUAAUGUAAUGGUAAAUUAAGGAGACAGUUUUGCACCCCAUGAUUGUCAAGGUUUGGACUUCUAUGCCAGAAUCUUCUUUCAGAUUAUUUCAAAAGCUAUAAAAGUUGCAGGAAGAACCUUGAAAAGCCAGCUGUGAGAGGAAAAAAGAUGGAAGAAUAAAUAUUUUCACAAAGUAACCCAAAAAGUAACAAUCUGAACAUCAAUGGGAAAAAACAUUACAGCACAUUGGUACUAUCCUGGUGAAUAUUACUCACAAGAUUAAUAACCAUAUGCAGCUUGUUUAUGCAUAGUUAAUGGUAAGUUUUGCCAGAAUGGUUAUGGACCCCGUCGUUUUCUUUGUUUAUAAAUACGGCACUAGCUUGACACUUCUUGCUACUGACUAGGUCAGUUGGUAAACGGGUAGAUAAGCACUUGUACCCUUGAUUUGUCUUAAAAGCGACAGGCUGUAGGACUGCAAGAAACACUACUGAUGCAACACGUAUCAGACAAGUGACAGAUAUAUCGGACUAGAUGUUGAUGGCUGUAAAAGAAGUGAAGUGGUGAAAAGGCGUUUUUCAGAUGUCUGAGGUAGAAGCAAGACUGCUAGACCUCACUGAAGAGGAAAGCCUUCAAAAGUAGGGCAAAUUGCUGUGAGCCCAGAGAUGUUCCAAAAUACCAAAGCAAAUGAGAAAAAGCUGAUUAUGCAAAAACAAUUCUUGUUUGAGUGCUCGUGACAUUUGCCAUGUCUUCCAGGUGUUAACUCCGUUUCGUCAAUACCCUAGUCUGACAAAUUUCUAGUCCUGUAACCUGUUGUGGCAGCAUUGAGACUAAGCCCUCCAGAAACUGGCUGAGCAAGCUGCAUUUGGAAAAGGAUGAGGAAGCUGUUGUAAGACAGAGCACUGUAGAAGGUCAAAGGUUUUUUUUCCAGUGCUGCCACUUUCUGAUGAAUGUGAGUUUGUGAUGUUCUCUCUCUAAGCUCUGAGACUUAAGCCUAACACUACACUUUGCUUGGAGGAUGUAAGAUUUUGACAGGUGGUGUGAAGCAUCAAGUUUAAGCUGUCACUUGGUUUCAGAGCCAUGCAUAAAAUACAUACUUUCUUUCGUAGAAUUUCCUGCUUUCUGAAGAAAUGCUCUUUGGACUGUCUUUUUUGCCUUGUAUUUAUUAGUGUCCAUUUGCACUAAAACCUGAUCUCAGACUAGGUGUACAGAGCUUGCUGUAGCUGUCUCUGAAAACUGGGUAGAUUAGAGAUGUUUUGUUUACAAGCAGUGUUACUGGUGAUAAGAAACUUGCCUUAAUGAGAAAUCUCUCUGCUAUGAUUUGCAGUGUCUUACUUGGGGGAUUGUGUCCAUAUCUAUGAUUAACAUUCUAAGGGAGUUUUUUGAUUUUUUUUUUUUUUUUUAAUUGCCCAGGAUUCUACUGAAUUUGUUUUCACAUCAAAAUGUCUGUAGUCUAUAAAUCUUGAUCUAUAAUUAAAAGCUGUAAAUAUAGUGUAAGAGUAACACUGUGCUGCUGAUAUUUAUUAAGCAAUGCAGCACCAUGAUGGAACUUUUAUCUUGAGAUAAUUUUUCUUGUAAUUUUUCUCAGCUUGAAAAUAUAUGAAGAGAGUUCUGGGUUUUGGUUGCUUUUUCUAUAGACUUUUCCCCACCUCAGUGCUUUGUUAUUGGUGUCCAUUCCUGAAUUGGAUAUACUGGUACUGAAAAGGAUCUGUAAAGUCAUCUCUCUGCCUUGGCCUCCCUAUCUAUGAUACCUACUGCUGAUACUUCACAGAGAAACUGAAAUACUGAGCAAGUUAUUGUUAUGAAAAAGUGCCACAAGGAGUUGGUGUCAGAAGAAGGUGGCUCUGACUGAGAUCUAACUCCCAUGAUCUGACUAUUAGGCCUUUUGAAACAAAUACUGCCAGCCUUUGCAGAGUGGUUUGAUGGAUUCUCCUACUACAUACGUGCUGGCAUCCCUGGCCUGGUUUGGGUUGUUAGAGUGAGGGGGUUUUGGCAUGUUUUUUCGUUUUCAUUUAGCUGCUCCAAGUAGGUAGUUUAUACCCAUUCUCUCACCAGCUGACUGAUCCACGUAUAGAUUUGAGGAUCAGAUUCCAUCUCUGACUGAAAGGGAUGCAAGCGUUGCCGUCAGCUAAUGAAAACAACAAACAAUAGUCUUCGGGGAAACUGGUUAGUUGUUUUCCCAUAUGUCACAGGAGCUUACUAAUAGGAAGAGUCCUGCUAUUCUUUACAGCAAUGCAUACUGCUCCGUUCCAGACGCUGUUUAGCUGGCAUGAAUCUGUCACACAGUAGUUAAAUACUACGAGCAGACAAGUCGCAUAUUGGUUAUAGGUUUAAGGCAAUUGCUAAAUUGUUGCUUCCAAACCAGUUGUUGGCUAACAAAGCAGUUUCUGCAUGGUGGUACUAUUAAUCCUAGGCUUAUAAGUAUGAAGUGUUCUUUUUGUUCUGUUUUAAAAUAGUUGAGAAGCAGGUUUAGUAGUGUGUAUGCUGUCCUCUGCUUCUGCGGGGUCGUUUCCUUAACUGCUUUAUCAGCUUCCUAUGAUAAAGGGGCAGGUGCGUGUCCCUCCUAGCUCCUCUGCCCUCACAGAGGGUAAUGGCUGAGCAGACUGGUCUCCUGCAGUCUUGACGUGCCCCAUUUGAUGCUUCUGGUGUCAGAUCCAGGCUUUGAGUGUCUGUCUUUUAAUUAGACUGAUCCCAGAGAAUGGUGUUGGAGCUGGAUUAAACAUCUGGUUUUGCAGGAGCUCUGCGCAUGUGGGUGGAUGUCUCUUACCCCUCCCGCUCUCUGUCAGCAAAGUGGUCUGCUUGUUUCCCAGCCUGCUUCUGAUGAAAUCAGCCUACUUUAUUUAAACCAGCUAUUUAAAUUGCUUACAUUAAGGUGGCUGAUUUUGACUUCAGUGGAUUAGGGACUGUUCAGGAGAGUGUUGGCAGCUCUGGCAGAAGUGCUGUUACAAGCAACUGUCUUAAAUUUCUUCUUCUGUUUGCAAAGUAACCAUCUCUCUACAAUCUUAACUGGUAGUAAAACCUGUGGAAAGAAGCAACUGGCCCAGUAUGUCUACCUGGGGAUUGUCUUCUCCCUUCUUCGCCACGGUGCUUGGCAGUGGUGUUGCCAGCCUGCUCAGACACAUUAAAAGCUUUCGUCUUUUUCCAGCUGAGCUCGUCCAAAAGUAUUUAAAGGCUCUGCACCCACCUUCAGGCUUUGUUUACAGUGCCUUGAGAAUCAGUGCAGAGGAUUCUCCAGGACAUGUGAGGACUUGUUAAGUGGCUGGACUGUGAGUUUCUGCUCCGAAAAUCUGCAUGUGCAUUGUGUAGGUUGUGAAUGUUAAUUUUUGUGUUCGACGAUUAGCCCACAUUAAAAUCACAAUGCUACCAGUACCCUUUGGGUUCUAAAUAUGUGAAGGAAUUGUACCUUACUGCUUGCACUCUGUGCUUAAAAAUAGCAGGGAAGGCUUGUGGUCUGUUAGCAUUGAGUUCUCCGUGUGCACCCUCCAACUUGAAAAAGCAGUGAGCUAUCAUCUCGCAGAAUUCUGAGCUCUGCACAAGAUGUUUUUGCAUAAUGGCCAUCAUGGUGAUCCUCAUUCAAAUUUGUGCAAUAAAAAUACCAAGCUUUCUACACUGAAGGGAAAGAAAUACUUUCUGAAAUUUUUGAAAGGUUACAUAAAAUUGUAACGAAGCAAGAUGCUGGUAGUGCCUUUAAGAUGGAAAUUCAUCUUUGUUUUAGUCUAUUGCUGUAAACAUAAGCAGUUCUCUAGAUACUAAAUUUUAUGCUGUUCAGAACUAUCUAUCACUUUUAAUACCUUUGAGAAUUUAAGUGACUUUUAAUAAUUAUUAAAUCAGGAUGGUAAUACAGUGGGUUUAUAUAUAUAAAAUAAAAAUUUUAUACAGUUUU